rnacentral:tRNA from 1 species
GGUCAGGUAGCUCAGCUGGUAGAGCAAUGGACUGAAAAUCCAUGUGUCGGCGGUUCAAUCCCGUCUCUGACCACCA